rnacentral:rRNA from 1 species
UGGGGAAUUUUGGACAAUGGGCGCAAGCCUGAUCCAGCGACGCCGCGUGGAGGACGAAGGCCUUCGGGUUGUAAACUCCUUUUGGAGGGGAAGAAUAAAUUGACGGUACCCUCAGAAAAAGCCACGGCUAACUACGUGCCAGCAGCCGCGGUAAUACGUAGGUGGCGAGCGUUACUCGGAAUUACUAGGCGUAAAGCGUAUGUAGGUGGUUAGAUAAGUCUAUGGUGAAAUUUCCUGGCUUAACUGGGAAGGGACAUAGAUACUAUCUGGCUUGAGUGUGGGAGGGGGAGACGGAAUUCCUGGUGUAGCGGUGAAAUGCGUAGAUAUCAGGAGGAACACCGAUGGCGAAAGCAGUCUCCUGGCCCAAUACUGACACUGAGGUACGAAAGCUAGGGUAGCAAACAGG